GAAACGACUGCUAAGACUGGAUAGGAGACAGGAAGGCAUCUUCUUGUUUUUAAAAGACCUAGCAAUAGGUAUGCUUAGGGAGGAGCUUGCGUCACAUUAGUUAGUUGGUGGGGUAAAGGCCUACCAAGACUAUGAUGUGUAGCCGGGCUGAGAGGUUGAACGGCCACAUUGGGACUGAGACACGGCCCAAACUCCUACGGGAGGCAGCAGUAGGGAAUUUUCGGCAAUGGAGGAAACUCUGACCGAGCAACGCCGCGUGAACGAUGAAGUAUUUCGGUACGUAAAGUUCUUUUAUUAGGGAAGAAUAAAUGAUGGAAAAAUCAUUCUGACGGUACCUAAUGAAUAAGCCCCGGCUAACUAUGUGCCAGCAGCCGCGGUAAUACAUAGGGGGCAAGCGUUAUCCGGAAUUAUUGGGCGUAAAGGGUGCGUAGGCGGUUAAAUAAGUUUAUGGUCUAAGUGCAAUGCUCAACAUUGUGAUGCUAUAAAAACUGUUUAGCUAGAGUAAGAUAGAGGCAAGUGGAAUUCCAUGUGUAGUGGUAAAAUGCGUAAAUAUAUGGAGGAACACCAGUAGCGAAGGCGGCUUGCUGGGUCUUUACUGACGCUGAGGCACGAAAGCGUGGGGAGCAAACAGGAUUAGAUACCCUGGUAGUCCACGCCGUAAACGAUGAGUACUAAACGUUGGGUAAAACCAGUGUUGAAGUUAACACAUUAAGUACUCCGCCUGAGUAGUACGUACGCAAGUAUGAAACUUAAAGGAAUUGACGGGACUCCGCACAAGCGGUGGAUCAUGUUGUUUAAUUCGAAGGUACCCGAAAAACCUCACCAGGUCUUGACAUGCUUCUGCAAAGCUGUAGAAACACAGUGGAGGUUAUCAGUUGCACAGGUGGUGCAUGGUUGUCGUCAGCUCGUGUCGUGAGAUGUUGGGUUAAGUCCCGCAACGAGCGCAACCCUUAUUGUUAGUUACCAGCACGUAAUGGUGGGGACUUUAGCAAGACUGCCAGUGAUAAAUUGGAGGAAGGUGGGGACGACGUCAAAUCAUCAUGCCCCUUAUGACCUGGGCUACAAACGUGAUACAAUGGCUGUUACAAAGGGUAGCUGAAGCGCAAGUUUUUGGCGAAUCUCAAAAAAACAGUCUCAGUUCGGAUUGAAGUCUGCAACUCGACUUCAUGAAGUUGGAAUCGCUAGUAAUCGCGAAUCAGCAUGUCGCGGUGAAUACGUUCUCGGGGUUUGUACACACCGCCCGUC
rnacentral:rRNA from 1 species